AGUGAACGCUGGCGGCGUGCUUAACACAUGCAAGUCGAACGAGAACGGGAUAUAGCUUGCUAUAUUUGUCAGCUAAGUGGCGCACGGGUGAGUAAUGUAUAGGUAAUAUGCCUCUUACUAAGGGAUAACAAUUGGAAACGAUUGCUAAUACCUUAUACUCCUUGUUAACAGAAGUUAAUAAGGGAAAGAUUUAUUGGUAAGAGAUUAGCCUGUAUUGUAUCAGUUAGUUGGUGGGGUAAUGGCUUACCAAGACUAUGACACAUAACUGGUUUGAGAGGAUGAUCAGUCACACUGGAACUGAGACACGGUCCAGACUCCUACGGGAGGCAGCAGUGGGGAAUAUUGCACAAUGGACGAAAGUCUGAUGCAGCAACGCCGCGUGGAGGAUGACACAUUUCGGUGCGUAAACUCCUUUUAUAUGAGAAGAUAAUGACGGUAUUAAAUGAAUAAGCACCGGCUAACUCCGUGCCAGCAGCCGCCGUAA
rnacentral:rRNA from 1 species